UCUGAGCCCUAGACAUGAAAUCUGUUUCCUUGUCUAUUUCAGGUUUAAGACUGUGUGUUGUAGGUGCUAUGAGCUAGGGGAAGGCUUCUCCUCCUCCUCCCUCUCCUCCUCACUGCAUCAUCCUACACCCUAAAAUUAUGUCCCUUAAGGUCAGGAACAAGGGCAUGAUUUAGAUAUGAAAGAGACUUGAAAUGUCACUACUCAACAAUGAACAUCACGUGCUCUGGCUGAAAGGUGACACUGUAUUAAGAGGUAAUAAAUGCUUAGCAGAUAUUCGUGGGGUCAAGAAGUUUUUAUAACUACUUGUAAAUUUUUUUCUGAUGCUUCUAUGACCUUUCAUACCACAUAGUAAUUCAUAUUUGCAACAGACAUAUAAUGUUGGCACACUGUAUAUUAAUACUUUGUAUAUGGCUUCUGAUGUGCCCUGAACAUCAGAAAUAAUUGGAUAAGCAAGUUUUGGUAUCCAGCCCAACCAUCACUUCUCACAGGAAUAUUCUCCCAUUAACAGAACAUGGUACUUUUAAGAAUAGUAACUAAUGAUCUACAGCUUUACCAACCCCUGUGUCACAAACAUCUUUGCUUCAUUGUACAGAGUGGCAUUUUGUGAUUUUUAAAAACAAACAGAAAAGCAGAGACAUUCAUCUGUAACUGUUGCAUUUUAUCUCUGUUCCUUCCAGGGCCCUCAGGGACCUCAGGGCCAGCCAGGGCCACCUGGACCGCCUGGACCACCAGGACCAAGAGUAAGUUCUGUAACUACGCUAACUACGGUGCAGCCUUCUUUGUUGAAAGUGAUCCUCUUCAAAUGCAUUGCCUGUUCCAUCGCCACAAGUGAAAUGCAAAUACGUUUCCCUAUAACUUCCAUCACUGCAGUAAGAGUUUUUGAAUCUUUUGUCUUACACCAGCAUUUCUGUUCUACAAUGCUGUKGAGCCCUUAGUGGGCAAAGCUCAUGAACCUUUGACGUGGGUUAACGCCAUCACACUGUUUUUCUGUUGGAGCAAUUCUGCAUUUGAACAAUCUGAAAGAAAGCGCCAGAAGAUGCUGCAGUGUUUCUGGCCAAGGUGAUCGAUCUCCGUAUAUCCAGCUGGACUGUUCCCUUCUAAGGGAUUGUGCGAGUUAGCAGGAUAGGCUCAAUAUUUGAAGUAUCCUAAAGCUGUGAUGAUAUUUGUACUCUGAGAACAAACCCUAAGACCUAGUUUUUCAUAUGGGUGGAUUAAGUCUUUAAAAAAUGAACUCAAAGCUGUUGUGUAGUGUACAUGUCUCACAAACAGAGCAGAGAGUGGAGAUAAGCAGGGAAC
rnacentral:lncRNA from 1 species